rnacentral:rRNA from 1 species
UACGAGGGGGGCGAGCGUUGUUCGGAAUUAUUGGGCGUAAAGGGCGCGUAGGCGGCCUGUUAAGUCGAACGUGAAAUCCCCGGGCUCAACCCGGGAACUGCGUCCGAUACUGGCAGGCUUGAAUCCGGGAGAGGGAUGCGGAAUUCCGGGUGUAGCGGUGAAAUGCGUAGAUAUCUGGAGGAACACCGGUGGCGAAGGCGGCAUCCUGGACCGGCAUUGACGCUGAGGCGCGAAAGCCAGGGAGCAAACGGG